GUUUAAGAAUAUUUUUUACAGGCUGCAGGAGAAGAUGGCGGUCUCCACAGGGGUUAAAGUUCCCCGUAAUUUUCGCUUGUUGGAAGAACUUGAAGAAGGACAAAAAGGAGUAGGCGAUGGUACGGUUAGCUGGGGCCUUGAAGAUGAUGAAGAUAUGACACUUAAGGUGGACAGGCAUGAUUAUUGGGCCACCACGGACAAAUUAUGAAAACAGAAUAUAUAGCCUGAAAGUAGAAUGUGGACCUAAAUACCCCGAAGCUCCUCCGUCAGUUAGAUUUGUAACAAAAAUUAAUAUGAAUGGAGUAAAUAAUUCCAGUGGAUGCCCGGAGCAUACCAGUGUUAGCAAAAUGGCAAAAUUCAUAUAGCAUUAAAGUUGUACUUCAAGAGCUAAGACGUCUAAUGAUGUCCAAAGAAAAUAUGAAGCUUCCACAGCCACCAGAAGGACAAACGUACAACAAUUAAUUUUAGUGGAUCUCAAACUUGUCUUAAAUCAACAACCUUCUACUCAUGUUAAUGUCUUGAUUAAAUAUCACAAUGCAAAAUACCCACACAUUAAGUAAAAGAAUUCCAGCUGGUAAACAUGACCUGGACAUUUGUAAGAAUAUAUUUAAUAUAUGUACACCCAUUAUGUUUUCAGGUAACAGGAGGAAAAAUGCAGCACAAUUUUUUUUCUCUUGUUAAGGCACUGUCAUUUAAACAUAAACCUGGAGCGCUCGAAAUAGAAUUCAGGUUUACAAGAUGAAAGCGUGUGGAGAAGUGUCAGAUGGCAGUGGAAACAUGUGUGUUUCUAAAAAGUAAAAAUCUCAAGAAAGAAAACAGGAAUGGCAUGCUUUAUCCAUCUUGCUUAGUGAAAGAGCUGCAGUUGAAAUUGUUUAAAACGUAGCAGGUACAAUGAAUAUUGUCACAAAUGUGUUAAUUUUUGAAGUGGUAUGGGUGCUGACUACUAGUAGUAUCAAAAAUAUGUUCAGGAUUGUUUUGAUACCUGUAUUUAUAAUAAAAAAUGUGGGGGGAGUUGAUGAACUUCUGUUAAAAGCUGUUCUUGUGUGUUACAUGUAACAGACAUGGUAAAUAUUUGUUUACAGUCUUUGUUUAACCAUGCAUUUAAGUUUAAGUGAAUUCAACAAAAAGGAAAUAGGUAUAUGGAUAUGUGAUUUUGAGAUUAAAGUUAGUCUUAAAAUAUAAAUAAAUUGUGGAACGUGUCCUCAGA